UGACUGUGCCAAGGCUGAGAUUAUAUUCUCAUGGGCUGAAAUUGUCAUACGCUUAUUCUCUGCUAUGUUCCAUAGCUCCAAAGACUGCAGCCGCAAUUUUUUUUAAAGACAUAAAAUGGAAUAAUUAUAAAUAUGUCCACAAUCAUGCAAUAGGGAUGGCUAUAAGAUAAAAAAAUUAUAUAAUGAAACCAAUGUAUGUACAAUGAUUUCAUUGUAACAGUUGAUUGUGGUGAGUCUCACGUGGAUUCCACCAUGAUGAAUGAUUAUAACUAAACUGUUGUACGUACAAUGUUUGAACCGAAUAAAAAUUCCUACAAUAUAAUAUGAAUAUAAUGCAAAAUUGAUUCACCUGCUGAAGGAAACCUGAAUCAUGAAUCUUUAUUUUUAAAGUGGAGAACAAAGUAGGCUACGAAUAACAUCAUAGCAACAGAUAUCAAAAUGCAAAAGAUCAACUCAAGACUCGAUCUUAUAGAAAAUGGACAGCCUUAGUUUUACAGAAAUUUUGGGACAACAAAAAUUCAUUUUGUAUUACCAUGGACAUGUACAAACAGCCAUUUCCCAUAACUAGGCUUGCUGAUAUUCAGAAAUAUUGAUAAACCAUAUACUACAUCCAGACAAAUAUCACGUGCCUGUGCGUAAACGAUGAAAGACAAGCAUCAUCAAGCCUCCUAUUAUAAUAUGGAAAUUUCAUCAUAAAAGUCUGCCCAUUUAUGUUUAUAAAGUAAUCUUACAGAGUAGACAUACCGAGAUUCCUCCGAUCACCAGGAG
rnacentral:misc_RNA from 1 species